rnacentral:misc_RNA from 1 species
GGAGGGCAGCAGUGGGGUACGGACAAUGGGAAACCUGAUCCAGCCAUCCCGCGUGUGCGAUGACCUUCGGGUUGUAAAGCACUUUUGGCGGGAAAGAAACGGCGCAGGAUAAUACCCGUGCAAUGAUAACCUGCAGAAUAAGCACCGAUAACUACGUUGCCAGCGGCGCGAUACGUAGGGUGCAAGCGUAUCGGAAUUACUGGGCGCCAAAAGCGUGCGCAGGCGGUUCGGAAGAAAGAUGAAGUGACUUAACUUUGAACUGUUUUUAAACUUCCAGGCUAGGUGUCAGAGGAGCGGAAUUCCGGCAGUGGCCGUAGAUAUGCGGAGGAGCACACCGAUGGCGAAGGCGGCCUCCUGGGAUAACUGACGGCGCUCAUGCGCAACGUGGGGAGCAAACAGGAUGCGGUAG